rnacentral:lncRNA from 1 species
UUGCACCAUAUCCAGAUCCAUUUCAAUUUCUCCAUGCCUAAUUGGAUUUGGAUUGUGAUUUUUGGCAUCAUGAGAAAGACUAAUAAGGGUGGUCGGCUAUAGCUGAUGAGUCAUAAUAUUAUCUCUUGUCUAAUUCGAAUGAUAUUCGAAUUAGAGAUAAGAUGUAGACUAGGAAAGAGAUUUUUUAUAUAUGGUAUAUUUUUGGAGCCAUAUUAUUUUUUUCUUUUUUUUUUUGAGGAGUCCUUUGGUAUGUGAGUCUCUAGAUUUCUUUUCCACAUCUUAAUAAUUUUUUUGAAAUUUUUGGAGAUGCCA